GCCGCCUUAGCUCAGCCAGUAGAGCAUCUCACUCGUAACGAGAAGGUCCCCAGUGCAAAUCUGGGAGGCGGCUCCA
rnacentral:tRNA from 2 species